rnacentral:rRNA from 1 species
ACUGCUCAGUAACACGUGGACAAUCUGCCCUGGAGAGGAGGAUAUCCCCGGGAAACUGGGAUUAAUACUCCAUAGUUCGUCUUAACUGGAAUGUUAUUCGAACGAAAGAUCCGNCGCUCCAGGAUGAGUCUGCGGCCGAUUAGGUAUUUGUUGGGGUAACGGCCCAACAAGCCUUUCAUCGGUACGGGUUGUGGGAGCAAGAGCCCGGAGAUGGAUUCUGAGACACGAAUCCAGGCCCUACGGGGCGCAGCAGGCACGAAAACUUUACCAUGCGGGCAACCGUGAUAAGGAAACCCCGAGUGCCAGCACAGGCUGGCUGUCCGCCAGUUUAAAUAACUGGUGAAGAAAGGGCCGGGCAAGACCGGUGCCAGCCGCCGCGGUAAUACCGGCGGCUCGAGUGGUGGCCGCUAUUACUGGGCUUAAAGGGUCCGUAGCUUGAUAACUGGGUCCCUUGAGAAAUCCGCCAGCUCAACUGGCGGGCGUUCAGGGGAAACUUGUUUUCUAGGGACCGGG